GCGGGCGUAGCUCAGUGGUAGAGCGUCAGCUUCCCAAGCUGAAGGUCGCGGGUUCGAUCCCCGUUGCCCGCU
rnacentral:tRNA from 1 species